AAAUAUAAACUGACUAAACUU
rnacentral:snRNA from 1 species